GCCGCCGUAGCUCAGCUGGGAGAGCGACCGGCUGAAGACCGGUAGGUCCGGGGUUCAAAUCCCCGCGGCGGCA
rnacentral:tRNA from 2 species